rnacentral:rRNA from 1 species
CCCUUAGAUGCUCUGGGCCGCACGCGCGCUACACUGAUGCAUUCAACGAGUCUAAAACCUGCUCUGAUAGGGGUGGGUAAUCUUUUGAAUGUGCAUCGUGAUUGGGAUAGAUGAUUGCAAUUUUUCAUCUUCAACGAGGAAUGCCUAGUAAACGCAAGUCAUCAGCUUGCAUUGAUUACGUCCCUGCCCUUUGUACACACCGCCCGUCGCUCCUACCGAUUGAAUGAUCCGAUGAAUAUCAUGGAUUGAGGAUGCAAGUAGGUUAGCCUAUCUUCAUCUUCGAGAAGUGAAGUAAAUCUUAUCAUUUAGAGGAAGGAGAGGUCGUAACA